rnacentral:piRNA from 1 species
UAGAGCAUGUGCCAGGACCCCAGAA